rnacentral:rRNA from 1 species
UACGGAGGGUGCAAGCGUUAUCCGGAUUCACUGGGGUUAAAGGGAGCGUAGGUGGGCUGGUAAGUCAGUGGUGAAAUCUCCGAGCUUAACUUGGAAACUGCCAUUGAUACUAUUAGUCUUGAAUAUUGUGGAGGUCAGCGGAAUAUGUCAUGUAGCGGUGAAAUGCUUAGAGAUGACAUAGAACACCAAUUGCGAAGGCAGCUGGCUACGCAUAUAUUGACACUGAGGCUCGAAAGCGUGGGGAUCAAACAGG